rnacentral:rRNA from 1 species
UACGUAGGUGGCAAGCGUUGUCCGGAUUUAUUGGGUUUAAAGGGUGCGUAGGCGGCUUUGUAAGUCAGUGGUGAAAUACGGUAGCUUAACUAUCGAGGUGCCAUUGAUACUGCAGAGCUUGAGUACAGAUGAGGUAGGCGGAAUUGACGGUGUAGCGGUGAAAUGCUUAGAUAUCGUCAAGAACACCUAUAGCGAAGGCAGCUUACUAGGCUGUAACUGACGCUGAGGCACGGAAGUGUGGGGAUCAAACAGG